rnacentral:rRNA from 1 species
UGUCAUGGCUCAGGAUGAACGCUAGCGGUAGGCCUAACACAAUGCAAGUCGAGGGGCAUCGGGAUUGAAGCUUGCUUCAAUUGCCGGCGACCGGCGCACGGGUGCGUAACGCGUAUGUAACCUACCUAUAACAGGGGCAUAACACUGAGAAAUUGGUACUAAUUCCCAUAAUAUUCGGAGAGGCAUCUCUCCGGGUUGAAAACUCCGGUGGUUAUAGAUGGACAUGCGUUGUAUUAGCUAGUUGG